rnacentral:rRNA from 1 species
GACGAACGCUGGCGGCGUGCCUAAUACAUGCAAGUCGAGCGCUGACGGUUGGUACUUGUACCGCCUGGAUGAGCCGCGAACGGAUGAGUAACGCGUGGGGAAUCUGCCUUUGAGCGGGGGACAACAUUCGGAAACGAAUGCUCAUACCGCAUAAAAACUUUAAACACAAGUUUUAAGUUUGAAAGAUGCAAUUGCAGCACUCAAAGAUGAUCCCGCGUUGUAUUAGCUAGUUGGUGAGGUAAAGGCUCACCAAGGCGAUGAUACAUAGCCGGCCUGGGGGGGUGGACGAGCAACAUGGGAAUGGGGCAAGGCCCAAACUCCUAACGGGAGGAAGAGGAGGGGAUCUUCGGAAAUGGACGGAAGUCUUACCGAAGCAAGCCGGGGGGGUGAAGGAGGGUUUCGGAUCGGAAAACUCUGUUGGUAGGGAAGGACGUUAGUGAGAGUGAAAAGCUCAGCAAGUGACGGUAACUAAACAGAAAGCGACGGCUAACUACGUG